rnacentral:rRNA from 1 species
UACAGAGGAGCCAAGCGUUGUCCGGAUUUACUGGGCGUAAAGGGCGUGCAGGCGGUCUGUUAAGUGCAGGGUGAAAGCUCCCGGCUCAACUGGGAGAGGUCCUUGCAUACUGGCGGACUUGAGGGGGGUAGAGGAAAGUGGAAUUCCCGGUGUAGUGGUGAUAUGCGUAGAUAUCGGGGAGGAACACCUGUGGCGAAGGCGGCUUUCUGGGCCCUACCUGACGCUGACGACGGCGAAAGCGUGGGGAGCGA